UUCCCUUCCAUCCCUGAAGCAAAACCAUCGUCAUCAUCAUCAUCAUCGUCUUCCGCGGUUUCUAGGGUUUCACGACGUACGCAGAGAGGAGAAUAGUGGAGGCCGUGCAGGGGGAGGAUCGGGCGGCGCUGAACAUGGGGAUCGGAUGGAGGGGCCUGAACAACGAGAUGGAGAGGUUCAAGAACAACAUGGAAUUCACGAAGCUGAAGACUAACCAGGAGGGCGUCGAUCCGGACGAUGUCUACUCCGUGGUCCCAUACGAGAAGGGCUUCCACUUCCUCUGGCGCAUCGAACGACAGGUACCGACGCAUCUUCCCACCCAAAAUCCAUAGCCAGAUAGAUCCCUGCAAAAAAGGAGAAGAAAAAGCUCUUAAAAUCCUUCGUCGAUCCUUAUCAGAUCGGGCGGGGCGAGUUCGAUCGGUUCCUGAAGAAGUACAUCGAGAAUUUCAAGUUCCAGUCGGUGGACACGGAGACCUUCGUGGAGUUCCUGAAAGAGAACGUACCAGGGAUUGAACAGCAGAUCGACCUCCAGGCGUGGAUAUACGGGACCGGCAUCCCCCCGGACGCCGCCGAGCCCGUCUCCGCCAUUUACUCCAAGAUUCUCUCCCGCUCGGAGAAGAUCAAGCUCGGGGAGAUGCCGGCCGAGGAGGAGG
rnacentral:lncRNA from 1 species